UGCAGUCGAGCGAUCUUUAGGAGCUUGCUCCUGAAGGUUAGCGGCGGACGGGUGAGUAUUAAGUGGGCAACCUGCCUAUAAGACUGGGAUAACUUCGGGAAACCGGAGCUAAUACCGGAUAAUCCUUUUCCUCUCAUGAGGGAAAGCUGAAAGAUGGCCUCUCGCUAUCACUUAUAGAUGGGCCCGCGGCGCAUUAGCUAGUUGGUGAGGUAACGGCUCACCAAGGCGACAAUGCGUAGCCAACCUGAGAGGGUGAUCGGCCACACUGGGACUGAGACACGGCCCAAACUCCUACGGGAGGCAGCAGUAGGGAAUCUUCCGCAAUGGACGAAAGUCUGACGGAGCAACGCCGCGUGAACGAUGAAGGCUUUCGGGUCGUAAAGUUCUGUUGUUAGGGAAGAACAAGUAUCGGAGUAACUGCCGGUACCUUGACGGUACCUAACCAGAAAGCCACGGCUAACUACGUGCCAGCAGCCGCGGUAAUACGUAGGUGGCAAGCGUUGUCCGGAAUUAUUGGGCGUAAAGCGCGCGCAGGCGGUCCUUUAAGUCUGAUGUGAAAGCCCACGGCUCACCCGUGGAGGGUCAUUGGAAACUGGGGGA
rnacentral:rRNA from 2 species